UGGGGAAUAUUGCGCAAUGGGCGAAAGCCUGACGCAGCGACACCGCGUGCGGGAUGAAGGCCUUCGGGUUGUAAACCGCUUUCGGCAGGGAAGAAGCGAAGGUGACGGUACCUGCAGAAGAAGCUCCGGCUAACUACGUGCCAGCAGCCGCGGUAAGACGUAGGGAGCGAGCGUUGUCCGGAUUCAUUGGGCGUAAAGCGCGCGUAGGCGGCUUUGCAAGUCGGUUGUGAAAACCAGAGGCUCAACCUCUGGCCUGCAUCCGAAACUGCAUCGCUUGAGGUAGGUAGGGGAGAUCGGAAUUCCUGGUGUAGCGGUGGAAUGCGCAGAUAUCAGGAGGAACACCGGGUGGCGAAGGCGGAUCUCUGGGCCUUACCUGACGCUGAGGUGCGAAAGCUAGGGGAGCGAACAGGAUUAGGAUACCCGUGGUAGUCCUAGCCGUAAACGUUGGACACUAGGUGUGGGCGGCUAUCAA
rnacentral:rRNA from 1 species